rnacentral:tRNA from 1 species
GGAAAUGUGCCUGAUUAUAGGAUUACUUUGAUAGAGUAAAAUAUAGGGCUUAACCCCCCCUCAUUUCUU